GACGAACGCUGGCGGCGUGCCUAAUACAUGCAAGUAGAACGCUGAAGGAGGAGCUUGCUUCUCUGGAUGAGUUGCGAACGGGUGAGUAACGCGUAGGUAACCUGCCUGGUAGCGGGGGAUAACUAUUGGAAACGAUAGCUAAUACCGCAUAAGAGUAGAUGUUGCAUGACAUUUGCUUAAAAGGUGCAAUUGCAUCACUACCAGAUGGACCUGCGUUGUAUUAGCUAGUUGGUGGGGUAACGGCUUACCAAGGCGACGAUACAUAGCCGACCUGAGAGGGUGAUCGGCCACACUGGGACUGAGACACGGCCCAGACUCCUACGGGAGGCAGCAGUAGGAAUCUUCGGCAAUGGACGGAAGUCUGACCGAGCAACGCCGCGUGAGUGAAGAAGGUUUUCGGAUCGUAAAGCUCUGUUGUAAGAGAAGAACGAGUGUGAGAGUGGAAAGUUCACACUGUGACGGUAGCUUACCAGAAAGGGACGGCUAACUACGUG
rnacentral:rRNA from 1 species